GCGCCUGCACCUGGAAAAAAACACAAAUUGUUAGAAAAAUCACCUAAAAUUCACACAAACUUACCUGCAAAUCGUCUCCAGUCAUCAGCAGCAGCAGCAUCUGGUCCUCCUGGUCCUCACGCAGGAAGCCUACGUUGGAGUCGCUUGUAAGAGAGAAAAGAGUCUGCUUGUCUGUCCAAAUCUGUGUUCGUCAGGUUUGGCGAGAAACGUUUCUCUAGAUGGCUGGCAAAGGCUUCCAUUUUGCUCUCAGGUGUCUUGGUCCAUUGUAUGGAGGCUGAUGGGCCAUCCUGGAUUUUGAGCGGCCAGUUUGGAGUUGGUUGUCUCUUCAAUUUGUUCGUGAUUUUCCAAAGUUUUUGCAGCCGGUAGCGAUCGUUUGAGUCAAUAGCCUUUAACUGUUUAUUCGUAUGUCUUUCCUUGGCUUUAGCAAUUUCUUUAUUUAGGAGCUUUGUUGUUUGUUUAAGUAUCUUUUUAUUUUUAGUACAACGUGUGUUCAUAUAAUCCAGUUUGUUUGUCUUUUUUAUUUUCAGGAGUUUCAUCAUUUUUUUGUUAACAGGUACUAUUCCUCCUAUUUUGUAUGCGUUUGCCAAGUUUCAAGCAUGGAUUCAAUUCAGAGAGAGUGUUGGGCUUGACAAAAGGUGAUUUGCUGGAGUCAAAGUUGGCAGAGGAGCUAGCGAUGGAGUGGUGGGUUUUACAUGCAUACUCCAUGAGAAUUUUUUGGGCAAGGAUGGCAUUUGUUUCCUCGUUGAUUUUGGCCCUGUCAAGGGAGCUAUUUGUCAAGUUGGGAGAGAAACGCUUCUCUAACUGGUCAGUAAACAGCUCCAUUUUUUCUUCAGGUGAUCUUGUCCAUGCAUGCUUCUUGUCUACUCCGCUAGGGAUCGUAAGAGGCCAGUUAGGAAGGGGCUGCCGUUUUAGUUUGUUGGUUAAUUGCCACAGCUUGUGGAGUCUGUACCGAUCAGAGGAGUCUAUUUUACAUAGUUUUUUA